CACAUGCAAGUUCGAACGGUAACAUUUCUAGCUUGCUAGAAGAUGACGAGUGGCGGACGGGUGAGUAAUGCUUGGGAACUUGCCUUUGCGAGGGGGAUAACAGUUGGAAACGACUGCUAAUACCGCAUAAUGUCUUCGGACCAAACGGGGCUUCGGCUCCGGCGCAAAGAGAGGCCCAAGUGAGAUUAGCUAGUUGGUAAGGUAACGGCUUACCAAGGCGACGAUCUCUAGCUGUUCUGAGAGGAAGAUCAGCCACACUGGGACUGAGACACGGCCCAGACUCCUACGGGAGGCAGCAGUGGGGAAUAUUGCACAAUGGGGGAAACCCUGAUGCAGCCAUGCCGCGUGUGUGAAGAAGGCCUUCGGGUUGUAAAGCACUUUCAGUUGUGAGGAAAAGUUAGUAGUUAAUACCUGCUAGCCGUGACGUUAACAACAGAAGAAGCACCGGCUAACUCCGUGCCAGCAGCCGCGGUAAUACGGAGGGUGCGAGCGUUAAUCGGAAUUACUGGGCGUAAAGCGCACGCAGGCGGUUUGUUAAGCUAGAUGUGAAAGCCCCGGGCUCAACCUGGGAUGGUCAUUUAGAACUGGCAGACUAGAGUCUUGGAGAGGGGAGUGGAAUUCCAGGUGUAGCGGUGAAAUGCGUAGAUAUCUGGAGGAACAUCAGUGGCGAAGGCGACUCCCUGGCCAAAGACUGACGCUCAUGUGG
rnacentral:rRNA from 1 species